rnacentral:rRNA from 1 species
AGCUUGCUCUGUGGAUCAGUGGCGAACGGGUGAGUAACACGUGAGCAACCUGCCCCUGACUCUGGGAUAAGCGCUGGAAACGGCGUCUAAUACUGGAUAUGAGCUGCGAUCGCAUGGUCAGCAGUUGGAAAGAUUUUUCGGUCUGGGAUGGGCUCACGGCCUAUCAGCUUGUUGGUGAGGUAAUGGCUCACCAAGGCGUCGACGGGUAGCCGGCCUGAGAGGGUGACCGGCCACACUGGGACUGAGACACGGCCCAGACUCCUACGGGAGGCAGCAGUGGGGAAUAUUGCACAAUGGGCGAAAGCCUGAUGCAGCAACGCCGCGUGAGGGAUGACGGCCUUCGGGUUGUAAACCUCUUUUAGCAGGGAAGAAGCGAAAGUGACGGUACCUGCAGAAAAAGCGCCGGCUAACUACGUGCCAGCAGCCGCGGUAAUACGUAGGGCGCAAGCGUUAUCCGGAAUUAUUGGGCGUAAAGAGCUCGUAGGCGGUUUGUCGCGUCUGCUGUGAAAUCCCGAGGCUCAACCUCGGGUCUGCAGUGGGUACGGGCAGACUAGAGUGCGGUAGGGGAGAUUGGAAUUCCUGGUGUAGCGGUGGAAUGCGCAGAUAUCA